AGAAAAAAAAAAGUACACUGUUAAUACUAUGUCACAGAAGUAUAUUGUUAAUACUAUGUCAUAGAACUAUUUUCCUAGUAAAAAUCACAUUUUGCAUAUCAUAAAAUUCAAGUGCACAGCCAUAUAUAGAGCAAAAUAUAGAGCGUGCUUUGUUACUGAAAAUCUGUUAAUACUAUGCCAUAGAAGUACACUGUUAAUACUAUGUUAUAUAAAUCAACUCAGUUGUAGGGUAUGAACAGUAUAACAGCUGUUCAUACCACUUACUGGAAGUUAACAACUGCUCAUACGACUUACAGAUAACAAAUUGUAUACAACAAAUCAACUUACCAGCUUGUUGAAAUUUACAAAAGUCAUAUAUUAGACCCACAACCACCCAAAAAGCCAAAAUUGACUUGUUGCAAAUGUCAUAUCAAAGCACAAAAAGAUGACCACAUGCGAGUUGCAAAUCAUAAUAAAUGACACAACUGAAAACGAAAUGCUAUACCUGGAGGAAGGGAUUGCUUCAACUUGUCGGCCUUCUCCGAAUCAAACAUGCAAAGAGUGUAAAGGUACUUGGAGCAUCAAACCUUAAACUUGACAGCAUCUUUGCUCCUCUUGAUUUUGACAGAGUGUGCAUCCUUCCUUCUUGCAGUUAGAAGGAAAUCCUUAAUCUCGUGGAUUUGCUUCGGCUGUUGGUACAGAGACAGAGUACAUACAUUAACAUUCUCAAAUUUAAAAUCAACAAGGCUUGUAUGUUCACAUGUUUUAACAUCUACCAUCCAUCACUUAACACAGCUAUACCUGAUUAUUAGUGUGUCAAUUACUUCUUCAAGAUACAAGAACAAUGGGUGGGACACCAGGAAAAAACAUUAUAGUAUUAUACAAACCAUGGCCAGACAUGCUUCAAAUGAAAUACACAGGCAACUGUUCAUUUUCUAGAAUCAUAACUGUAUGAACCACUGCUUUUGUAUUCAGCUCCAAAACACAAAAUCAUUGAGACCCAUUCUAAAUUGGAACACAAAAUAUUGAGGACCAUUCAUACAAUAAAACUAGAAAAUACUGAAAUGAGCAAUCAACAUAAGAAUAAACGGUGAAAAUAUGUACAUCAGAGGCGUCGCUGAUGAGCUCACAAAGAAAGAUCUCCUUGCUGCUGUAAAAGGUGUUGAUGAUCAAACUCAGAAGCUAGUUGCUCUCAUGGAUCAGGACCUGAGUCCACCUUUUGAGUUGUAAAAUGACUUUGCCGAGUUUGGCAUAUCCCGCUCUUCAAAGAAGAGCUUCUUCAAUGGCGGCUGCAUAAAGGAGGAGGAAGCGGCAGUCCUUUUGGCUAUGGAAAAAUCAUCGUCGUCAGCAUCUGCGAACAAGAGAUCCGGGUUGAAAAUCGGGAACACAUGAUGGAUUUGGCCAUUUCGGAAUAUAUUGUCAGUGGAAAUCGUCUUCAUCUUCUUUCUUCUCGCAAUCACCACCGGCGUCGGUGUUCUGAACACCUUCGUCCGGUAAUUGACACCUCAAAUCUACAGAGUAGCCACAUAACUCAAUGAGCUUAACCAUUAGCUCUGUUCAUAUUGAAAAAAAUAGAAAUUAGCAUCAAAUUCAACGAAGAAACUGAAACUAAGUAGAAAUUCAAGUAAAUUUAGCAAAAAUCAAAAGGAAAAUAACGAAUUGAAGCAGAUGGAACAAACCUGCAAAGGAAAUAAAGGCAUCGGCUGUGAGAACACGUGUGAGGCCACUUAUGUAACGGAGAUUGUCGUCGGUCAUGUGUUGGUCCAUGGGUUUGAGACUGUUUGGUUUACUUUGAAGGCAUAGAGAGGGAAGAAGGGAGAGAACAGAGCAGAUAUGGUGGUUUGAAGCAGGAGAGGGGCUUGAGGCUUCAAACCUAAGGGAGGCUUUGUUGAUGCUCAAAAUGGCCCGGCCAAUAUUGAGUCCAACUUAGUGAUUAGAUGUGCUGAGUCUUCAGCAGAGAAGAAGGCUGAGGCCCUUGGUGAAAUGGGUUGGUGAGAGACCUGUAGAAGGUAAAAGAGGAGAAGCAAUCGUUAAGCUUCGGACACCGGUGUGGUGCCGGCCGAAGGCUCUCCGAUGCCUAAGUCAGUUACAAGUAGUAAUUCUGGCAGAGUAACAGUAAAAGUGGGAGAAUAGUCGUUCUUUGUACCUGGGUACUGUUCCCUAUUUAUAGGGAGGUGAAAGUAGGAGUUUUGCACAAAGUUCCAAUGUGGGACUUUGUGCAAGCCAUUGUGGUGGCGACACGUGUCCUGGAGAUUAGGUUUGGCAGCUGAGAGCUUCGGCAGGUGUCUGGCACCUCGGAAGUGUGUCUUCCUUCGGCAUGGGAGAAGGCGUGGCUGCCUUGGUGCUAGUCGCUUUGAUGCUGGGUCUGCUCGGUUCAUUAUGGUGUAAACAGUAGUCCCCCAAGUUCGCGGUCGAGAAGUAACUUCUGGGUUGGGAACUUGUGAGCUUUUGUAAUUGUAACCGAGCAUUCCAGCUUCAUUGGGAGCCGCAGGGCACUCCCUAGUCCCCCAAGUUGGCAAGCUAGGAGUUGCGUCAACACAUAGUAGCUGGGUACCUGGGUACUUGGGCAUGUUGCAGAUAGGGUGGGAGCUGGGUCCCUAGGGGAGCCAGACCUUCGAGGGAGCCGGGUACUUUGAAAAUUUUGGAGACUCCAAUUCUUUCAUGGCUCCUGCCGUUCGGCAAGGGUAUGGCUCCUUUUUUUUUUUUUUUUUUUUUUUUUUUGGGAAAUGGCUGGGGCCAUUAAGGGAUUUUUGGACCUCCUCACAAAGCCUCCACGGGCCUUGCCGUUCGGCAAGGGUCUAGCAAAAUAAUAUUUUUUUGUUUUGAANNNNNNNNNNNNNNNNNNNNNNNNNNNNNNNNNNNNNNNNNNNNNNNNNNNNNNNNNNNNNNNNNNNNNNNNNNNNNNNNNNNNNNNNNNNNNNNNNNNNNNNNNNNNNNNNNNNNNNNNNNNNNNNNNNNNNNNNNNNNNNNNNNNNNNNNNNNNNNNNNNNNNNNNNNNNNNNNNNNNNNNNNNNNNNNNNNNNNNNNNNNNNNNNNNNNNNNNNNNNNNNNNNNNNNNNNNNNNNNNNNNNNNNNNNNNNNNNNNNNNNNNNNNNNNNNNNNNNNNNNNNNNNNNNNNNNNNNNNNNNNNNNNNNNNNNNNNNNNNNNNNNNNNNNNNNNNNNNNNNNNNNNNNNNNNNNNNNNNNNNNNNNNNNNNNNNNNNNNNNNNNNNNNNNNNNNNNNNNNNNNNNNNNNNNNNNNNNNNNNNNNNNNNNNNNNNNNNNNNNNNNNNNNNNNNNNNNNNNNNNNNNNNNNNNNNNNNNNNNNNNNNNNNNNNNNNNNNNNNNNNNNNNNNNNNNNNNNNNNNNNNNNNNNNNNNNNNNNNNNNNNNNNNNNNNNNNNNNNNNNNNNNNNNNNNNNNNNNNNNNNNNNNNNNNNNNNNNNNNNNNNNNNNNNNNNNNNNNNNNNNNNNNNNNNNNNNNNNNNNNNNNNNNNNNNNNNNNNNNNNNNNNNNNNNNNNNNNNNNNNNNNNNNNNNNNNNNNNNNNNNNNNNNNNNNNNNNNNNNNNNNNNNNNNNNNNNNNNNNNNNNNNNNNNNNNNNNNNNNNNNNNNNNNNNNNNNNNNNNNNNNNNNNNNNNNNNNNNNNNNNNNNNNNNNNNNNNNNNNNNNNNNNNNNNNNNNNNNNNNNNNNNNNNNNNNNNNNNNNNNNNNNNNNNNNNNNNNNNNNNNNNNNNNNNNNNNNNNNNNNNNNNNNNNNUGCCGUUCGGCAAGGGUGUCUUGAGCAGGUUUUUAUUUGGACCGUUGUGUUGAUCAAAUUUGGGUCUUGGCCUUGGACAAUUUUGGGCCCUAGCCCUGUAAUAAGAUUGGGCUUAUGAAAUAGGCUAGGACACUUGAAAUUUUGGGGCUCCAUUUUGUUUUUGCACGGGCCUUGCCGUUCGGCAAGGUCCCUAAAUUUCUCACAAUUGUUUUUGUUUCUUGCUUGUAUAUUUGAAAAUUGAAUUUCAAAUUGUGUGUAGGUACAAGGGAUUUAGGAGGGAAUAUGAAAGGGUGCUAGGGUUUGCCCGUGAAACGAGGCGUGGUACCCUUAGUUGGCUAUUUAAAGGAACUUGGGUGGUGAAGGCAUCACACUUGGCUUGAGUUGAGAAAAAUUGUGAGAAUUUGAGGAGGAGGAGAAGAGAUUUCCGGCGAAGGUUUUGUGGUGGUGCUUGUGGCUGAGGUGAUUUCCGGCGACUUGUACGUGGUGGUACGAACAAGGUUAGACCUUAUUUCGCUUGAACUUUUGAAUUGAAAUGUCUUGUUUUGCAUGAACAUGUUGAAGGUUAGGAAGAACACAUUGAACAUGAGCAUGAACAUGAUGAACAUGUUGAACAUAUGUAUGAACAUGUAGAAUUCUUGCCUGGUAUGAAGAUUUGGCAAAUUCUUGUUGUUGUGGUUCGAUCCUCUCUGCAUGUGCAUUUAGUUCCUUUUUCUUGUUUUUCCAUAUUUGUAGAUGUCUGAAAGUUCUGAUAGGGAAAGUCUUGACCCCCCUGCCUUCGGCGGGGAUGAUACUGAGAGUCAAGAGCCGAGUCAAUAUAUAUGUUCUGAGAGGAAGUUCAGAGACAGAGGGUAUGGUGGAAGGAACCAUAGAAAGUNNNNNNNNNNNNNNNNNNNNNNNNNNNNNNNNNNNNNNNNNNNNNNNNNNNNNNNNNNNNNNNNNNNNNNNNNNNNNNNNNNNNNNNNNNNNNNNNNNNNAUAGAGUUAGAGGCUGUAGCAAAUCGGGUUCUAGCCUUGCCUCAGACGCAAGAAGUGGGUUCGAGCAACCAGGCAUCACCAUCAGGGUCUGUGGGUAUAGCCGUGGCGUCGGUGUCAGAGGGAUUAGACAUCCGGGUUGGUGUCCCGUUGCCGAGGCGGAAUACACUUACAGAAGCGAAAUUGGCCCAGCUACGAACAGAUUUUUGUGUGCCAGCCUAUGUGGGUUUGAGGUUACCCACUGAGGCUGAUGUAGUCAGAUAUCCCUCGGAUGGCUCCGUGAUGAUUUUUACAGAUAUGUAUCGGCACGGCUUCAGACUACCGUUUCAUCCGUGGGUUCAGAUGAUGUUGGCCAAGUUGGGGUAUGCACCGGGGCAGUAUAAUCCCAACUUUUGGAUUCUUCUUCAUGGGGUGUAUAUCGCCUGGUGGUUGGCUGGGUUAGGGGAGCCAACGUUUGAGCAGUUCAUGUACCUGUACUCCAUUUCGAAGCAACAAGGGAAUUUUGGCUGGGUACAGGCCAAUUGCCGAAAGGCGAAGGAGAGGGGCUACUUUAUUGGACACAAGCCCACAACGCAAAAGUCCUGGAGGAACAGGUGGUGUUUGGCCUAUGGGGACUGGGAAUGUCCUCCAGGGAAGAGCGUUGUCCAGCACAUUCCUACCCACUUCCAGUCUAUAGGUCCUUGCCCCAUCCCUUAAGAUUGUCCAAUGCCUGAUUGUGUUGUUUUGGCUCCUAUUUUUGGUUCUGUACUUCCUCUGUGCCAGUGUAAAUGGCUAAGUAGUUUCGAACUCUUGAUGCAGGUUCAGUGAAGUGGGGCCCUAUCUCCAAGGAGCAAGAAGACGAAGUUGAGUGGGUGAGGGCGCAGCUAUCAGAGACUGAGCGUGAGUGCGGGAACCUAGUCACGCAGAAGAAUUUGUUUGAGUCCGGACUGCUGCAAGGAAGUAAGUACCUGGGUUAUCUUUUUGUUGUGUGCUGAGCCUUUGUAAGUUUGAGUAAUAGAAUUGCUUUGUUUGUUUUGACAGUGGCUGGCAUCAUAAGGGGGAGCACGAAGGUGGCCGUAGACAUUGAUGAGGCCGAGAUGCAGAAGCGGCUGAGGGAGUCUCAGGCCAAGAAAGCUGAGAAAAGUGCUGGAAAACGACCCAGGGAUGAUGAUGAGGGUCGGGUCGAGGACGUGCUGGGGAAGAGGAAGGCUUUGGAGGAGGCUCAUUAGCAUGUGAUGGGGGCAGGGCCGAGGCUUCCGCCCUUUGAUCUGCAGGCACCGCCGAAGCUACCUUUCGGCAUGGAGGAUGUGUUCGCUGAAGGGGUAGAGAAGGUAGACUUCGGCAGGCUACGCCAGCAGAAGAAGGAGGUCAACCUGGCUAUGCACCGGCAGGAGGUGCCCUUAGUGAACGUCUUCCUGGAAGGCGUGAAGAGCGACCCUGAGGCCUUGGCGAGGACUCCAGCUUCUUCCUUCAUUGACCGGGCCCAAAAGACGAUCCUCACCUCUGCCUAUGUAAGUGUUUAGGCCCUUUUUGAAUGUACCUGUGUUGGAUUAUUUUUGUGUGGAUUGACUAACAUGGUUUUGGUUUUGCAGGCCUUUGGCGAGAUGUACGUCAGCAUGGCCAAGGCUGACAAGGAGAUCCAGAGGUUGAAGAGGCGGGAUGAGCUAGCCAAGAGCAAAAUGGCGGAGGCGCAGGAGGCCAUCCGAGAGAAGAACACCUUGCUGGUUCAAAAGGCGGCCCUGGCCAAGGAGGUGGAGGAGCUGAAGAGAUCUAGGGCCGAGGAGGUGGCUGCUGCCCGAGCCGAGGCGAUUGAGUCCUUCCGAUCCUCAGAGGAGCUGAAGAGCUAUAUCAUGGACCGACUGGUUGAUGAGCAGCUUCGCUGGAUUACAAAGAUCCUCCACACAACUAGCGGAUUCUAGNNNNNNNNNNNNNNNNNNNNNNNNNNNNNNNNNNNNNNNNNNNNNNNNNNNNNNNNNNNNNNNNNNNNNNNNNNNNNNNNNNNNNNNNNNNNNNNNNNNNCUGCUGAUGCUAGCGCCCCGACACCAGAGGCUGAGCCGGCUACUGAGGAUGCCCCUUCGACCGAGUCCUGAAGGCGUUGCUUCGUGAUGUGUAUAGCUAUUUUGUACUCUAGUGAAUGUGUUGGAACACUUGUUUGUUUUGUUUAUUUUGGUUAUGUAUGAAUUGUCCUUGCCUGGAGCAAGGCUGUUUUUAUUUAUGAUAUGAACUUAGCUUGAUAUCAAUUGUGUUAAAAAUGAUAACAAUGUGAGUUCAUGAGAAUGAGCCUGAGUCAGGCAUUUCAUUGAAAUAGAUGCCGAAAGGCAAAAGGCACAAGUGGUCUAGGGUCUAGAUACCUUACGUCUAACUUACAGUAAAUAAUCAAGACCAAAGUAUUGUCCUAGGGUCUAGAUAUGUUUACUUGUAAUAGUACUUGAGGUGGUCAGCAUUCCAGGGGUGAGGCAGUGUCUUGCCUGUGGAAUCGCGAAGCUGAUAAGAGCCAGGACGGCAGAUUUUGAUAAUCUCGUAAAGACCUUCCCAUGUAGGACCGAGGGUACCUUCGUUAGGAUUUUUGGUAGCCAAGGAAACCUUGCGCAUGACCCAGUCCCCCAUUUUGAAAGCACGGGGCUUGACUCGGGAGUCAUAGUAUUUGGCGAUGCCUUGCUUGUACGCGGCAUUGCGCAUGCUCGAUUGGUCCCGGAGUUCGUCAAUAAAGUCGAGGUUGAGGGCCAACUGCUCGUCAUUGGCCGUGGCAUCGUAAGUGGAGGUUCGGUAUGUGGGCUGGCCAAUCUCUACUGGAGCCACGGCCUCGGUUCCAAAUGAUAGGGAGAACGGCGUUUCACCCGUGGAUGUGCGGAAGGUGGUGCGGUAGGACCAGAGUACUUCUGGGAGUAGUUCUGGCCAGCAGCCCUUGGCUUUGUCAAGUUUUGUCUUGAGGGUCUUCUUGAUGAUUUUGUUCACGGCUUCGACCUGGCCAUUGGACUGUGGAUGGGCUGAGGAGGCGAAACACAGACGAAUCUUGAGGUUGGAACAAAAUUGUUUGAAUUUGGCGUUGUCAAAUUGCCGGCCAUUGUCGGUGACGAUGGAGUUGGGGAUGCCGAAGCGACAUACAAUGUUUUGCCACACAAAGGAUUCGAUGCGAGCCGCAGUGAUGGUGGCCAAGGCCUCGGCCUCAGCCCACUUGGUGAAGUAGUCCACGGCCACAACUGCAUACUUGACUUGGCCCUUGCCCUCUGGCAUCGGUCCAAUGAGAUCCAGUCCCCAUUGGGCAAAUGGCCAAGGGCUGACCAUUGCAGUCAACGGUUCAGCUGGGAGUUGUGGGAUGUUGGCGAAUCGCUGACACUUGUCGCAUUUCUGGGUGAAGGCCUGGGCGUCCGUGUGGAGUGAAGGCCAGAAGUAUCCUUGGCGGAUUGCCUUAUGGGAUAGCGAGCGUGCGCCCGAGUGGUUGCCGCAGAUGCCUUCAUGGAUUUCUCGGAGGACAUAGUGACCCUCCUCUGGAGUCAGGCAUCGGAGGUAUGGAAGACUGAAACCCCGCUUGUAUAAGGAGCCGUUAAUGAUCAGGUAACGGGCAGAGCGAUGGCGUACGCGUCGUGCUUCUGCCGGAUUAGCCGGUAGUGUUUGGUUCUGUAAGAACUGGAGGAUGGGGUCCAUCCAUGUGGGGCUGUGAUCAAUAGUGCAGAUGAGUGGGGCUUGUGUGCUGGGCUGGGCCAAAAACUCGAUGUGGAUGUGGCGACCCAGUCCCUGCUCCAAGGCUGAUGCCAACCUGGCUAGUGCAUUGGCAUGGCUAUUCUCGGAGCGCGGCACUUGCUUGAGAGAGUGGGCGUGGAAGGUCGCCAGCAGGUGCCGAGCGUGCUGGAGGUAGGCCGUCAUAGAGGGAUCCUUAGCCGUGAAGUCCUGGUUGACCUGGUGGACCACGAGUUGUGAAUCGCUAAAUAUCUGAAUUUGCCUGGCAUCCAUCUCUUUGGCUAAUCGAAGACCAGCUAUGAGUGCUUCGUAUUCGGCCUCAUUGUUGGAGGCUUGGAAUUUGAAGCGAAGGGCGUACUCGAGGGCAACCUUGUCUGGGGAGAUGAGAACGAGGCCGGCCCCACAGCCCUGGGCAUUAGAAGAGCCGUCUACGAAUAAGGUCCACAGGGGCUGGGUUAGGUCGAGAUUGCCUUCGGUGGGGGUUUGGUCCUGGCUUGAAGGGGGAUUGGGUUCGGUUAUGAGCUGGGUAGCUGCGGAAGCUUGGGGAUCCGUGAAUUCGGAUAGGAAGUCAGCAACGGCCUGGCCCCUCAUAGCCGGGCGGGGUUUGUAAUGAAUAUCAAACUCGCCCAGUUCAAUGGCCCAUUUGACCAGCCUCCCAGAGGUUUCUGGGUUCUGCAACACCUGUCGGAGUGGUUGGUUGGUUAAGACAUGGAUGGUGUGAGCUUGGAAAUAUGGUCGAAGGCGUCUUGCCGAGACGACCAGGGCGAACGCCAAUUUUUCGAUGUCUGGGUACCGAACUUCGGCAUCUUGCAAUGCUUUACUAACAUAAUGCACUGGGUGCUCCGCGUUAUCUUUUGAUCGGACGAGCACAGAGCUAACAGCCGAAGCUGAGAUGGAGAGAUAAAUCACGAGGAUGUCUCCGUGCUCAGGGGUUGACAAUAAAGGGGCCCGGCCCAUAUACUUCUUGAGCUCGCUGAAAGCCGUGUCGCAUUCAGCAGUCCAAGUGAUGUUUCUUUUGGUGCCUUUAAGGGCCUUGAAGAAUGGGGCGCAGCGGUCGGUGGCUUUGGAGAUAAAUCUGGUCAGGGCUGCGACACGCCCUGUAAGGCUUUGGAUAUCCUUGACCGUCUUAGGUAUUGUCAUAUCUAAGAUGGCCUGGAUCUUUUCUGGAUUGGCCUCAAUGCCCCUCUGGCUGAUCAUGAAGCCAAGGAAUUUUCCGGAAGCCGCCCCGAAAGCACAUUUGGUGGGGUUAAGCCUCAUUUUGUAUUGCUUCAGGAUGGUGAACAUGGCAGAGAGGUUGGGGAUGUGCUGGUCAGCCGUGCGACUCUUGACUAGCAUGUCAUCGACAUAGACCUCCAUGGUAUUGCCAAUCAGUGGGGCGAAGAGCUGAUUCACCAGACGCUGAUAAGUAGCCCCGGCGUUUUUGAGGCCAAAGGGCAUCACCUUAUAGCAGUAGAGGCCGCGGUCCGUAAUGAAAGAGGUGUGGGCCUGAUCUUCGGGGUGCAUGAAGAUCUGGUUGUAACCUGAAUAAGCAUCCAUGAAGCUAAGGAGGGCGUGGCCGGCUGUGGCGUCGACUAGCUGGUCAAUACGGGGUAGCGGGAAGCUGUCCUUUGGGCAAGCCCGAUUAAGGUUGGUGUAGUCGACACACAUGCGCCAGCCCUUUCUUGGCUUGCGGACCAUCACGACAUUAGCCAGCCAUGUAGGAUAGUCAACCUCCCUGAUGAAUCCGAUGCUACUCAAUCGUUCCACCUCCGCUCUCAUGGCCUCAUAGCGCUCGGGAUCAUAAGCGCGACGCUUCUGUCGGACUGGCCUGACGGCAGGAUUGACGCUAAGCCUAUGAGAUAUGAUGUCUGGUGAUAUGCCAGGCAUGUCAUUGUAGGACCAAGCGAAGACUUCGGAGUUGAGGCGGAGGAAGGCGACCAGGUCAGAGCGAAGCUCUGGCGAGAUGGAGGUGCCGAUCCGGACUUGUCGAUCCGGGAUAUCGUCAUGGAGGGUAACCAGCUCCAGGUCCUCCAUAGGUUCGGCCUGCGGUGCGAUGGACUCCUCCCUUGGGUCUUCAGGUGGGUCUGUGCCAGCUUGAGGAGGGGCGGGAGCCGUGGUUACCGAAAGGGCCUCGCUCCUAGGUUGGCGAUUGGUGGAUUUUACUGCUGAAGCAUAGCAGCUUCAGGCCCCGAGUUGGUCGCCGCGCACCGUGCCUGGGCCAUUAGGAGUGGGAAACUUCAACAGCAGCAUAUGCGUGGAAAUAAAAGCUCUCAUUUGGGCCAGGGCUGGGCGGCCGAGGAUGACGUUGUAGGCUGUGGGGCAAUCGACGAUAAGAAAGGGGGUAGUGAUCGUCGUCUGCUGGGGUGCGGCCCCAAUUGAGAUAGGGAGAUGAAUGCUACCGAUGGGCUGGACCACAUCGCCCGAGAAGCUCACAAGGGGUGUGAUGCUUCGGUCGAGUAGGUGAGGCGGGACCUGGAGUUCAUUGAAGCACUCGGCAAACAUCACACUGACCGAGCUGCCAGUGUCCACCAGGAUACGCCCAACGUCGAAGUUAGAAAUGUCAGCCCGGUCGUCAUGGGGGAGGAUAACACCACGCUCCUCUUCCUCGCAGAAGGUAAUGGGGGCCCAGCCAGUCCUGUGGGUCUUUGGCAAUCGUCCCUGCUCGGUGGUGAAGACCUGGUGCGCAUAGGUGAAGCGGACAUAAUGUUUGAUGGAAUUGUUGGAGGUGCCAGCCAGGGUAGGACCUCCGCUGAUGGUGGAGAUCAUGUUGAUUUGUCGUUGGUGAGGGUUAGGCGGGGCUGGUAUGUUGCGCACAUAGUUGUCCAGCUUACCCUCCCUGAUGAGCCCUUCAAUUAUGUUGCGCAACGCAACACAAGACUCGGUGUCAUGGCCGCUGAAUUGAUGAAAGCGGCAGAAGACCCCCGUGUUUGGCAUUGGCUUGUUGGAUGGUCUCCGGGGGGGUGGCUUGGGGAUGAUGGGGGCUUCACGCACCAGGACGUUCUCAUAGGUGGUGUUGAGGGUGGUAAAUACCUCGAACCUGGGCCUGGGUGUGAAUGGAAGUGGGGCCCGAUCAGCAGGCCUAGGAGGGUUGCCUCCGCUAGAGUGGUGGUGGUUGCCAUGUCUGCCCCGUUUGUUAUUACCGAAGGGAUGCUGGUAGCUAUCCUUCCGCUUAUGUUGUUGGUUGUCCUGAGUACUCGGGGCAGGGGUAGAAUGCUGAGGUGGGGCUGGGGCUGGUGCUGAAGCAGGUGGAGGAUCAGCGAAAGCGUUGCGCAUCAGGUUAGCUGGGCCACGCUUGGUAUUGAAGUAUUCGGCCUUAGCAUGGACUGCUGCCUGCUUCAUCAGCUCUGCAUAUGUGUUCCAACUGUUGCUAUGGACCAGGUAGCGGAAGUUGGACUCGCGGAGGCCGCUCUUAAAAGCGCCGAAGGCAGCGCGAUCGUCAGUGUCUGGGCAGCGGGAGUAUUCAUGACUGAAACGGGCUGCAUAUUCCCGAAAGGGUUCGUCCUCAGCCUGCCUAAGCAUAUACAAGUCGUCGGCAGAAUAUAGGCGAUCAGUCUGGAUCAUAAAAUGGUCCAGGAACGUCUGCUUGAGACUAUCGAAGGAGUUGAUGGUGCAGGGGUGGAGCCUGUAGAACCAAUUCAGGGCCGCGCCGCUGAGGGUGGAAGGGAAAAGGAGGCACAUGCCUUCAUCAGUGAGGCCUUUGCACCCAAGGGCAGACUGGAAGGAGUGGAUGUGGGUGAUAGGGUCCUCCGUGCCAGUGUAGAAAGCGAUGCGGAGUGGCUGGAUAUCUUUCUCCUGGUGGUAGUGGAGGAUGCGUUCGGUAAAGGGCCCGGGUCGUGGUUUUGCCCAGAGGGGUUGAUGGCUGCGAUGUUGUUCGCUUUCCAGGCGCCGGACCUUUUCGAAGAGAAGCCUCAUGGCCGGGUCGGCAUGAGGAAGAGUUUCAGGCGCCAAAGGCCUAGGGGCGGGGCAGACAGGGACUGGGGAUUGUUCCCAAUUUUCCAGCGCCCCGGUGUGGUAAUUUGGCUGGGUCUCCGAAUUAUAAAAGUCCCAAGUAUCCGAGUCCCCGACACCUUCCUCGUCGGGUAUGCGGACGGGGGCUGGCGAGAGGCCCAGGUGUGUCACCCGUGGGUCUUCGAGGUUGACAGGGAUAGGGAUCGGCCUUGGCUGACGGUCCGAGAGGCGAUCCCUGCAAUCUUGGUAGAUCCUGACUGGUUCAUGGGGCCGGUCCCUCGGUGGGGGAACGCAAAGGGGUCGCGACUGGGUUAUCUCCGGAUGAAGGUGGUCUUUACCUUUGCGGAGCCUAGCUUGGGCCGAGGCACUGUGGCUGGAAUGUACUGGCUGGUUCGGCUGAGUAAGCCCAACGUUCUGGGUGAGGUCUUGCUGGGCAUCCUGGGUGUGAGUCCUUUCCCAGUUCCGCUUUAAAACACGGUAGUCAUGUUCUAGCUCAACGUUCCUGCAAUGAAGGUGCUCGUAUUUUUCCGACAUUUUAGUGACACUGUCGCAGAGGCGCUCCAUUUCUGCCUGGAGAAUGGCAUCUUCCGAAGAUUUUCUUCUAGAAGUACCAUCGCGGGGGGUAUGAUGCUGGGUAUCGCGGCUAUCCUCGGUCGGCAUAGCAGAAUGUGGGGUGAAGAAGAGGCGACGGGGCCUGAGGGGUGAAGGAGCCAGCUGGGCUGAUAGAGAAAGAGGGGAUUCAAGUGUCGAUUUCCCACAGACGGCGCCAAACUGUUGAUGCUCAAAAUGGCCCGGCCAAUAUUGAGUCCAACUUAGUGAUUAGAUGUGCUGAGUCUUCAGCAGAGAAGAAGGCUGAGGCCCUUGGUGAAAUGGGUUGGUGAGAGACCUGUAGAAGGUAAAAGAGGAGAAGCAAUCGUUAAGCUUCGGACACCGGUGUGGUGCCGGCCGAAGGCUCUCCGAUGCCUAAGUCAGUUACAAGUAGUAAUUCUGGCAGAGUAACAGUAAAAGUGGGAGAAUAGUCGUUCUUUGUACCUGGGUACUGUUCCCUAUUUAUAGGGAGGUGAAAGUAGGAGUUUUGCACAAAGUUCCAAUAUGGGACUUUGUGCAAGCCAUUGUGGUGGCGACACGUGUCCUGGAGAUUAGGUUUGGCAGCUGAGAGCUUCGGCAGGUGUCUGGCACCUCGGAAGUGUGUCUUCCUUCGGCAUGGGAGAAGGCGUGGCUGCCUUGGUGCUAGUCGCUUUGAUGCUGGGUCUGCUCGGUUCAUUAUGGUGUAAACAGGCUUCAAACGAGAUCCAAAACUAAUUUAAUGCUAAAAAGGGUAAUAAAGAUAUUUCAUCUUAUUAAUUAAAUUAAAAAAUAUACAAUUGUUGAUUUUUGGGUUUAUUUUGGGUGUGUUUCUAUGUUUUAAAUAGUGUAGGGUAUAUUUAUAGUUUCAUGUCUAGGAAUGGGUGUUUCACUAAUUUUGUAAAAAUAGAAAAGCAAGCCUUCACUUUCAGUGGCGCCUUUCCUGCCGUUGAAUGAGACUGAACUAAAAACUCUCCUCAGAUAUUUUGAGACUCCACUCAUGUUCUUCUUCUACUUCUGCUUCUUCUCUCGUGCUCUGCAAGAACCCAACAUUCAGCUUCAAAUGGAAGGAGAGAGAGAUAGAGAUGUAUACAACUUGCUAAACAGAGUAUCAAAAUAGUAUCUGGAGAAAGGUUUCUGGUUUCAAGUUCAUUGUAUUUCUUUGUGUAACUUACAACAGAAUUUAUACAAGGAGAAAGCUUGCUAUUCAAGCUCAAUAUUAAUUACAAGUAGGUAGAUGGUAGCUGGUUUUGAGCUCCUAAUCCUAGAGAUUUUGCAGCAGCAGCCUUCCAAAGUCAAGCCAACCUAAUUAAUGCACCCACCUCAUUAAUGGAGCCAACCUCAUUAAUGCUACUAGCUAACACUCCCAAAGUUGGUGCAAAAAUAUCACACAUGCCUAACUUGUCAAGUGAGUAAUAGAAAACUUUACUGGAUACGACCUUUAUCCGAAUAUCAGCAAGUUGAUUUUCUGAGUUUACGAAUGGAAAUUUAAUGACACCAUUUUCUAAUUUUUCUUUGAUGCAAUGCCGGCCAAUUGUACUGGAUUAUGUGCUAUCUCAAUAGCAGCUUUAUUAUCACAAUACAGGUUUAUGGUUUCCAUCUGUUUCAAUUUGAGAUCUUUUAGUAAUCUUCGUAACCAGGGCAAUGCACACACUUCUUGAGCCAUUCCCCUAAACUCAGCUUCACCAUUUAAUCUAGCCAUGACCUUUUGUUUCUUACUUCUUCAAGUAACUAAGUUGCCACCCACUAAUGUAAAAUAUCCAGAAGUAGAAUAUCUAUUUGUGAUGGAACAUGCCCAAUCGGCAUCUGUGUAUCCUUUUACAUUCAUGUGUGCAUGUUUGGAGAACAUCAACCAUUUACCAGGAGUCGUCUUCAAGUAUCUCAUUAUUCGCGUUACUCCAUUCAUGUGUGCUUCACUUGGUUCAUGCAUGAAUUAACUUACCACACUUAUAGCAUAGGCUAUGUUUGGGCAUGUGUGAGAUAGAUAAAUCAGUCGUCUAACUAAUCUUUGAUACCUUUCUUUAUUAAUAGGUACCUGAUUCGGAUAUCCAUAAUUUGUGGUUUUGUUCGAUAGCGGUGUCUACUAGCUUGCAAUCCAACAUUCCAGUUUCGGUUAACAAAUGCAACACGUAUUUUCGUUGAGAUAGAAAUAUGCCAUGUUUUGAUCUAACAACCUCUAUGCCAAGAAAGUACUGUAACUCGCCCAAUUCUUUCUUCUCAAAUUCACUUGCAAGGAGCUUUUGUAGAUUCUUCAUCUCUUCGCUAUCAUCAUUGGUAACAACCAUAUCAUCAACAUAGAUUAUUAGAGCCGUAAAUUUACCACCACAACGCUUCAAGAAUAAGUUUUGGUCUGAGUUGCUCUGAGUGUAUCCAAAAUGCUUCAUGGAAGUAGUGAAUCUCCCAAACCAAGCUCGCGAUGACUACUUCAGCCCAUAUAAUGACUUUCUCAGUUUGCACACUGUAUUGGAAGUAGAUGUCAUAGGAAUCCCUGGUGGUGGAUCCAUAUGCACUUCUUCCUAUAAAUCUCCAUGAAGAAAUGCAUUCUUACAUCAUACCGCAGUAGUGGCCAAUCCAGAUUUGCAGCUAAAUAAAGAAGAACGUUAACACGAAUAGUGUUGAUCUUGGCAACUGGUACAAACUUCUCAUGGUAGUCGAUCCCAUAAGUUUGUUUAUAUCACUUAGCCACUAAUCUAGCUUUGUAUCAAUCUAUGGAGCCACCAACUUUGUAUUUAACGGUGAAUAUCCAGCGACAUCCAACUGGCUUCUUCCCUUUUGGUAAAAACACCAUUUCCCAAGUGGAAUUCUUAUUUAGAGCUUCCAUUUCAAUUGCCAUAGUUCUGCCUAUCUGGGAUCUGUCACAGCAUCCUGCCACUUACUUGGAACACAUAUAGUAGAUAAUUGAUUGACAAAAGAUGCAUAUGACUUUGACAAUCUAUGAGUAGACACAUGAUUAUUAAUAGGAUAUUUGAUUUGGCAUUAAGGUCAGGACAAUAUUGAAGUUUAGGUUUUCCCUUAAUGGAUCUAGGUGGAAGCGUAUAUGGUAUAAUACUAGGUUGUUCAGAGACUACCUCGAGAGCUUCCUCAUCACAAGAUGAUUGAGAAGAUGGCAGGGCAGGAGGGGUUGUAUUUUGCAGUUGCUCUUCGAAGAUAUCAUUAGUCACUUCGGAGACAUCAUUAGUCACUUCUAGCACUAAAUCCUCAUCAGGUCCUUCUCUGUUUGAAGAUGACCAGUCGACAUGAACAUGUUGAUCGAUCAACUGCCGUAAUUCUUCCUUGUCUUCUUCAAAGCAAAAUCUUCUCUUCACUCCCCCUCUCUCCCUGAAGAAAAUGGCUCGUAUGAGCCACAAAGUAGGAUAAGUGUUCAUGGAAGGUGACAUCCAUUAUGAUCAAGAGCUUCUAGGUAGGGGGUGGUAACAUUUGUAUCCUUUUUUAUUUGAGCCAUAACCAAAAAACACACAACGGAUGGCACAAGGAUCUAACUUACUCCUCUGACAAGAAGGAACAUGAGCAUAUACAACACAACCAAACAUGCGAUGAGGUAUCUUGAGGAUUGUAGGAAGAGAGAUGUAAUGAGCCAAGGUGUUUAGUGGAGUCUGAAAGCCUAGAACACUACUAGGCAUUCAAUUAAUCACAUAGACUGUAGAUAGGAUAGCAUGACCCCAUAAAUAGUGAGGGACUGAUUUAUCAAGCAUGAAGGCACGGGCAACCUCAAGCAAUUGUCGAUUCUUUCAUUCCGCGACACCAUUUUGUUGUGAAGUGAAAGAGGUGGAAGUCUGAUGAUGAUGUCGUGAUCCCGAAAGAAUUGAGCCAAGACAUUGUUCAAGUAUUCCCCACCAUUAUCAGACCAAAAAACCUUGAUGGAUGCUUGAAACUGAGUGGUGAUCAUAGCAUGAAAUUCACGGAUAGUAGAGGUAACAUCACUUUUAUGGAUGAGCAAGUAUACCCACGUCAUGUGGGUGCAGUCGUCAAUGAAGGUAACAAACCAUCUAUUUCAAUUAGAAGAUACUUUAGCAGGGCCCUAAACAUCAGAAUGAAUUAAGUCAAAUGGUUGGGUAGCUUGAUGGGUACUUGACGAAUAAGUAGCACGGUGACUUUUUGCCAAGACACAUGUUUCACACUUGAAUGUAGAAUCAUCAUGAUGGUGGAACAACGAGGGAAACAAGGACUUGAGAUAACCAAAGGAUGAGUGUCCCAAGCGACGAUGCCAGAGCCAAAUUUAUUGGUGGUCAAUUUCACAAGUACUCAGAAUAGUAGAAUGAGCCUUGGUGGAACUAGGUGGUGGUGGUGGUACGGGCAAUGCCAAUGAGUACAACCUCCCUCUCCAUUUACCAUAACCAAUCAUCUCAUGGGUCUGGAGGUCUUAAAAUUUGCAAUAUGUAGGAUAGAAAGUAGCAUAACAAUUAUGUGAGUCUAGUAACUUGCCAACGGAUAAUAAGUUGCAAUUAAUGGAAGGAACAAGUAAGGUUUAAGAGAGAGAUAAUGCAGAGGAAAAUGGGACAGAUCCUUCCCCAAUCACUGGUGAAGGGACACCAUUGGCACUAGUGAUGUAUAAAUGGCGAGAUUUAGAGGAUAAUGAGGUAAACAAAGUAGAGUAAAAAGUCAUAUGAUCAGAAGCACCUGUAUCAAUUAUCCAUGUAUUUUGAGACUUAACUUGUGGUGGAUCAUAUGCAAAAAGACAGGCAGGUGGUAUCAUCCUACCAGAACCAGUAUGAUCCACAGAGAAUGUCUUGUUAAAAGCCAUGAGUCAAACAACCGCACACAAGUAAGGCAAAGAUUGCAGCGUGAAAAAAAACACAGCAGCAAAACACCAACAAAGCGUGCUUAGCAGGAGCAGAUUGUAGUGAAAAACACAGCAGCAGAACACCAACAAAACAUGCACGACAGGAGCAUCAACACAGGCCCCAGUAAAGGCAAUUCAAGGCAAAAACAAAAGAAAUAGCACCAACAAGGCAAAGAACACAGAAAUAUCCUAUGAACAAAAGGCAAAGCAAGGACAAAGUAAAGCAAGAGCAAGGGGUAGGAACAAUAUAGAAGCAAAGCAAGGACAAGGUUAAGUAGACAAGGCAUGCAAAGUAAGGGCAAGUUAAGUAGAGACAAGGAAAGAACAAGGUUAUGCAGAGACAACCAAAAACGAUUGCUCUGAAUACAUGCUAAAUAGAGUAUCAAAAUAAUAUUUGAAGAAACGUUUCUGGUUUCAAGUUCAUUGUAUUUCUUUGUAUAACUUACAACAGAAUUUAUACAAGGAGAAAGCUUGUUAUUCAAGCUCAAUAGUAAUUACAAGUAGGUAGAUGGUAGCUGGUCUUGGGCUCAUAAUCCUGGAGAUUUGCACCAGCAGCCUCCCAAAGUCAAGUCAACCUAAAUAAUGCACCCACCUCAUUAAUGCAACUAGCUAACACAACUGAGGCCUUGGGUAAUUUCUCAGUGUUUAGAGAGACUUUCGUUUCAAUGGCAGCCACCAACUAUCUCAGAAGUCCAGUUCGAAUCUGACCCAGCAUUCUUAGUAGCAAGAAUUUACUCUGGAAUCAUGGCAUGAAGUGCCAGUGCAGCAUCAGCAGCAGCAGUAGCAGUAGUGGCGUUGAUGAGAGGUCAGUGUUUUCACUCACCUCGUCAAGCAAGUACGAAGUUGAUUAUUUGGGAGAGAAAACCAAAGGGGAUUUGAAUGUCAAGGUGGAGCAUCUUAAGGCCUUUGGUAACUAUCUUUCCUCUCCAAUGCUCUGUUUCAUUCUUUCAGUUUUGAAACUACAACCAUAUAUAUAUAUAUUGUGUGUGUGUGUAAAGUUUUGUUCUUUUCAAUGAACCCAUGUAGGAAUUGAUAGUCAAACAACUUUAAAAGGUCCAAUUGAGGAAGUGGCCAGGAUUGAGGCUGAAGAAGCUGAAGACUUGCUCAGAGACUUGGGUAUCCCAGUGCUGCUUUUUAAUUCCUUUUCCUGCAUACAUUUGAUCCUAUAUAUGCAUCAUCUUAUCUCUUUGCGUUCUUAUCUUUUUCUUUAAUAUUUGGUUCUCUUGAAUCUUGAACCAAUGGAUAUCCUUCUUAUCAUUUGCUUAUGGUAUUACCAUGUUCAAUAUAUAUGUGCAGACUCCCUUUUCGUCAAGACAAUCACCUCGCGGCAAUUUUUUGUAGAAGCACAUUAAAUCUUUGAUCAAUCAGUGCCAUUGGAUAUGAUAUGGACUACACCAUGAUCCAUGGUAAUGUGAUUGUAAGUGUCAUCAGCUUAAUAUAUGUUCUUAUUCUCAGCAUUAUUUGGCGCGUCAGCUUUGUUGCAACAGUAAGAUCAUAUAGUUUUGCACGUGCAAGUGACUAAUGUUGCAACCUCAACCAUUACUAUUCCAGCUAUUGUCUGACAUGGAUUUGUAUUUUGCGGGCUUGAGAAGGGAGAGCUUAUGAUUACUGCAUGGAGAAUUUGAAGAAAGGGGGUUUCCCUGUUUUCGGUCUUGCGUUUGACCCUGACUUGGUAGCUUCUAUAAGCAACUUAACCAUCUUUUCCCAUCCUUUCCCAUCCUUUCCCAUAGCUUAUUAGAGGCCUUGUCAUAGAUAAAGAGAAAGGCAACUUAGUGAAGGCUGAUCGAUUUGGUUAUGUAAAGACGGCUAUGCAUGGCACGAAGAUGCCAGCUGAUCGAGCUGUAAGGUACACUAUGAAGCUUUUAUUUUUGGUUAGUCUCAUAGUGCAAAUGCAAAGCAGGCAUUCAGUGUGCUGUUAAAACAUUAGCAAUAAGAAUUCCUAUGAAAGUUCCUAUUAUCAGAUGUAUUACUCUGGUAAUUUACCUCUCUGAAUAAAAUUACAUUACAUUGUAGAAAAUAUAUUUCCUUGUAUUUAACAGAUUACACAAAGUCCCUAUUUAUACUAGUACAGGAUAUCUACUUAAGGUAGGAAAUAAUAUAGAAAUGAAUACAAUUCGAUUUACAACAGGAAAGGCUAAUUGCUAGGAGGAGAUUGUGAAGUUGACUUCCGUAUAGGCUAGGAAAGGAAAGCUGCGUUAACACUCCCCUCCCCCCCGCGCGGAAACUGGGCGCCACAGGAUGCACAAGUUUGGAAGACAUAUGCUGAUAGAGUGGUUUGUGAAGGGCUUUGGUGAACAGGUCCGCAAGUUGGUCGACAGAAGGAAUAAAGCAAACUUGAUGACUUCCAAGAGCCACCUUUUCACAGACAAAGUGAUAGUCUAACUCAAUGUGACGUGUGCGGGCAUGGAAAACUAGAUUGGCAGCCAUGUACGUGGUGCUGAGAUUGUCACAAAAUAGUUGGAUCGGGAACCGAAGACGCACACCCAAUUCAUAAAGAAGAAAGCAUAGCCAAGUGGUUUCGGCAUAAGCAUGAGAGAGUGCACAAUAUUCUGACUCUGUACUAGGGCGCGAACUGUGGGCUAUUUCUUGGAACACCAUGAGAUGAGAUUAGUUCCAAGAGUAAUCACAUAUCCAAUGGUCAACCGACGAGAAUAGGGGCACCCAGCCCAAUUCGUAUCAGAGUAGGCAGAGAGGCGAGCGGCGGCAAUUUGAGAAGUAAAGGUGAGGCCGAGAUCAAUAGUGCCCUUGAUGUACCUAAGUAUCCGUUUGGCGGCAACAAGGUGAGAGGUGCGAGGAGCACUCAUGAACUGAGCAACAGUGUUGACGGCAAAAGAUAUGUCAAGGCGAGUAAGAGUGAGAUACUGUAAACUGCCAACAAGCUCGCAAUACUUGGUUGGGUUGGAGAUGGGAGCACCAUCAGGCAGAGAGAAGAACCUUGGUAGCCAAUGAAGUAGAUGCGGGUUUGGAGUUGAGAAUAUUGGCUUUCUGUAAAAGAUCAUGUACAUAUUUGAGUUGAUUGAUGUGGAGAGUACCAUCUUUACGAAGAACCUGUAAACCCAAGAAAUAGCUUAGUGGACCAAGGUCUUUGAUGUCAAAAUGGGCACCUAAAAGAGAGAUGAAUUGUUGGAGAUGAGUGGAAUCACUACUAAUUACCAAGAUGUCGUCGACAUAUAGAAAGAGAAAUAUGGUAUGGGACGCCUGUUGAAAAAUAAAUAAUGAAGUGUCAGCUUGGCUCCGUAUAAAGCCCAUAGAGAGAAGGAAAGUACUGAUGCGAUGGAACCAAGCACGAGAUGCUUGUUUGAGGCCAUAGAGUGCUUUGUGGAGCAUGCAAACAUAAGAAGGACGAGUGGGAUCAAUAAAACCAGGGGGUUAAGCCAUGUAGACAUCUUCUUGAAGAAACCCAUGGAGAAAGGCAUUUUUAACAUCAAGUUGACGAAGGGACCAACCACGAGAAAUUGCAAGGCUAAGAACAGUGCGAAUGGUGGCAGGCUUGACAACAGGACUGAAGGUUUUAGCAUAGUCUAUGCGCGGACAUUGAUGAAAACCGUUGGCAACUAGAUGAGCUUUGUAGCGUUCAAUGGAGCCGUUAAAGUGACGCUUAAUCCGAAAAACCCACUUGCAGCCAACCAAGUUCUGAGACGGAGAGGAAGGAACCAAAUACCAUGUAUGAUUUUUGAGGAGUGCAUUGAUCUUUUCAGUCAUAGCGUCACGCCAUUCAGGAUGCUUAGUGGUCUGUGAAAAACAAGUAGAUUCAGUAUGUUCAACAACAGUUAAUAAGGCACGGGGAAGAGAAUAUUUGACAGUGUCAUCAGUAUGAAGCUUGGGCUUUUAAAUGCCAUCCUGAAGGCGGGUGAGCAUGCGUUGCGGAGUUGCAAGAAUUCUUAGGUUCGGAGCUGCUGGAACCAGGGGGUCAGAGUUGCUAGAACCGAGAGGUUCAGAGCUCCUGGAAUUGGGGGUUCGGAGCUGCUGGAACCAGGGGGUUCGGAGCUGCUGGAACCGAGGCAGGCGCAAGCGGAAAGAGCUAUAUGCGAGGGCGUCGAGAAUAAGUUUGGAGCAAGGGUUGGGAUAAAGCAGAAGAAAUGUCGUUGAGUGAUCCCGGGGUGCGACGGGGUCAUGGCUUGAGACUGCAGCAGUUGGAAAGGUGCGAGCUAGGGAGGUGCCAUGAGGUUGCGAGUCUGAGACUGAGUCUGCAGCAGGAGUAAUCGAUAGGGGCAUAGGUGUGGAGAAGGGCAGAAUUGGGUGGAAUUCAAUAUCCACAUACUCUAAAGAAGAUCAUACCUGCAAAUGCUCAAAUGGAAAAUGCAUUUCAUUAAAUAAAGCAUGAUGGGACAUGUAAACACGACCCGUGGAGGGAUGUAAACAACGGUAACCUUUAUGGUGAGAACUGUAUCCAAGGAAAACACAUUCAAGGGUGCAAUUGGUGAGUUUAUUUUCAGUAUAUGGUCCAAGGUAAGGGAAACAAGAACACCCAAACACCCGGAGAUGAGAGUAGGAAGGAGGAUGUUGGAAGAGACGAUUGUAUGGAGUGUCCCAUUAAAGAUUAGGAGUCGGUAGGAGGUUUAUGAGAUGGACAGCAGUGAGGGCAGCUUCAACCCAGAGAUUGUGGGGAAUGUGAGAAGUGGUAAGGAGGGUACGGAUCAUGGUGGUAAUAUGUCUGUGUUUACAUUCAGCUAGGCCAUUUUGUUGGGGAGUGUGGGGACAUGAGAAACGUUGGUGGAUGCCUAGUUGACUGCAAAGAUCAGAGAAAGCAUUAUUAACAUAUUCAGUACCAUUGUCACUUUGAAGAAUUUGUACAGUGGUGUGAAAUUAAUUUUUAACCAUGGCAAGAAAGGUUUGAAAGUGAGAGAAGACCUCAUUUUUACGAUGCAUAGGAUAGAUCCAGGAGUAACGAGAGAAGUCAUCUGUAAACAAGACAUAAUAGCGAUAACCAAUGACAGAAACGACCUGGGACAUCUAUACAUCAGAAUGAAUUAAAUAAAAGGGAGAUUGGGCAAAGGUUUUAUUACUAAGAAAUGACAGUUUGGUGGAUUUGCUAAGUGCACAAUCCUUACAGAAAGCAUUUGAAACUUUAAAGUCUAGAGAUGGCGCUAAAUGAGAGAGCACAUGAUUGGAUGGAUGGCCAAGGCGACGAUGCCAAGCAGGAGAGUGCACGGUGGUAAGGGCACGAGGGACUAUGGAUGAGUGAGAGGAUAGGGAAAGUAGGUAAAGACCAUCUUUAGAAGGGCCCUGAAAGAGUAACGAACCAGUACGUAAGUCAUAGAUUUGAUAAAAGUCAGAAGUAAAGACAAAGAAAACUAAAUUAUCAAGAGUAAAACAGGCAACAUAAAGAAGAUUAAUACGAAGAGAUGGAAGACAAAAGACAUUUUGAAGAGAAAAUUUGUGAGAACCCAAAGGAAGAGGAAGAGAGCUAGUAUGAGAGAUAGAGAGGGAAUCUCCAUUAUCAAGAAAUACAGAAUUAUUACCCUGAUAUGGUUGUUGAUUUUGGAGAUUAGAAGGACUACUAGUCAUGUGAUGAGUGGCACCUGUGUCAGGGUACCAAGUAGAGUCAGGUGGCUGCAUAAACUGAGCCCCAGUAAAGGAAGGAAAGGAUUCUGGGCCAUUGUAGCGAUGGGGACAUGUUGAAGUAGUAUGUUGAUUGGUAUUGCAGGUGGUGCACCAAGCGGGUCCCAAGACACCAAGAGCUGAGUUAGGUCGGGUAGAGUGUUUGCUAGAAGUGGCAGAUUGAGCCCAAGGAGGCUGAAAGAAAGGCCAAUUGCUUUGAGAUCCAGAACUUGGAGCAAAAGGAGGCAAUGGUUGAUUAGGCCAUUGGAGUGCUGGAAGCUAUUCCAUGGGUUGCUCCAGAAAGAUGAGAAGUUGCGCCAGCCACCACGACCACAACCACGCCAACCACCACGGCCACCACGCCUAUUGCUGGAAGAGCCACCACCACGGUAAGAAGGGAAUGAAGUAUGACCGGUGGUGUGAGGAGAGGAUUGGGCUGCCAUUAGCGCUGUGGUUUGAUCAGGAGAGAUUUGAGGAGCCUGUGCGUCAAAAGCUAACAAACGAGCACGAAGAUCAGCAAAGUCAAGAAGCAGAGGAAAAUUGAGAAUUGCAGUGACGAGCAUUUUGUAAUCGGGUCCAAAACCUCGAAGCACAGUAGUGACAAGUUCUUUUGGGAAGAUAGGUUCAUUGAUGGCAGCCAAUGAAUCGGCAAGGGACUUAGCAUGACGAAGGUAAGCAUCAAUGGGUUGAGAGACUUUUUGCAAAUCCAAGAGUUGAAAACGAAGAGCAAAUUCACUGGCCAUACUAGAUUGAGAGAAGUGGCGUUGGAGACACUCCCAGAGAUCCCGGGCAAAGGUGCAACCAAUAGUGAGAGAGAGAGAAUGGACUCAGAGAGUGUACUGGUGAUGUAGCUAACAAUGAGUUGGUUUUGUUGGUACCACUAAGCAUGGGCGGGAUUGGUUUGGGUAAGAGUGGUUGUGGUGGUGGUAGUUGUGGGUGUUUCGGUGGUGGAGCUGGAGGUGUGGGCAGAAGGUUGUUUAUUAGUGUCAUCGAUAAAUUUCUAGAGAUCAUGACCGAUUAAAAAAGGUUUGAGUUGGCGGAGCCAAAGAAGAUAGUUAGAGUCAGUAAGCUUGAUAAAAUGAGAAGAGUUGAGGCUUGGGAGGGAGAUGGUGGAUUCAGAUGAAGCCAUUAGGUGGACCUAGAGGAGAAGAGGAUCGAAUAAGGGAGAGGAAGAAAACCCUAGGUUAGGCUGAUACCAUGUAGAAAAUAUAUUUCCUAUAAGGUAGGAAAUAAUAUAGACAUGAAUACAAUUCGAUUUACAGCAAGAAAUCUGAUUUACAGCAGGAAAGACUAAUUGCUAGGAGGAGAUUGUGAAGUUGACUUUCGUGUAGGCUAGGAAAGGAAAGCUGUGUUAACAUACAUACUUUCUUUUUCUCUGGAUAAAAAGAAUAUAAAAGCUAUCUAAGAUGAUGCACUUGCAUGCAAUGCUACCAAAGAAGCAUAAGUUCCAUCCUUGAUACCGAUCAAAGUUUCAUGCUUUCCUUUCUCUGCAAUGACUCCAUUUUCCACCACUGCAAUUACAUCCGCACCCUUUAUUGUGGAUAACCGAUGGGCAACCACGAUUGUUGUUCGAUCCACCAUGAUUCGGUCCAAUGCAUCUUGAACCACUCGUUCCGAUUCAGCAUCAAGAGCACUUGUGGCUUCAUCUAGUAGUAGUAUCUUUGGUGCCUUCAUUAUAGCUCGUGCAAUUGCCACCCUUUGCUUCUGUCCACCGGACAAUUGAAUCCCCCGCUCUCCUACUAUUGUAUCAUAACCCUGCAUUGUUUUUUCCAAACUUCACAUGGUUAAUCUUCAACGUUCCAAAUAAAAUUUUGUGAAUUUUCAUCAACUAGUCCUUCUCAUUUAUGCAGCACCAUGGCAAUAGAUUAUAUUAUAGUAUUUGUGGCCAAAAGAAAUUGACAAGCUUGUUAAUUUUGUAGUGCCUACCUGUUGUAAACUACAGAUGAACUUGUGAGCAUUUGCCAAUUCUGCAGCAGCUAUAAUUUCAGCCUCUGUUGCAUUCCCUUCCUUUCCAUAUGCAAUGUUGGCUCUGAUAGUAUCAUUAAACAAUGCCGGCUCCUGGCUCACCAGUCCCAUUUGCUGUCUCAACCACUUGAGCUGUAGCUUCUGGAUUUCAACUCCAUCUAAUGUAAUGUGACCCGAAUCAGGGUCAUAAAAUCUCUGCAACAGUGAGACGACUGUCGAUUUCCCACUUCCACUUUCUCCAACCAAAGCAACUGUCUGAAUAACAUAAUACAAAUUUGUAAAUCCCAGAAACUUGAAUUAGACUACGAGGUUCAAAUUUUAUGCUUUUUUUGAAAUGAAUAAAAGAACAAAACAUGUUACUAAGUUACCUUGCCAUGACGAAUGGUCAAGCAAAGAUCCUGGAACACUGGAACGUCAGGUCUAGUUGGAUACUUGAAACUGACAUGGCAAAGUUCAAUUUCUCCCUUCACAUUUUCUAUAGUUAUUCCAGAUUCAUCACUAGAGUCUAUUUUUGAUUUCCGGUCAAGAAUGGCAAAUAUGGAAGCAGCAGAGCUCUUUACUUUACCAAGAUUAGGGGCUAGGGAACCUGACUGAGACACUCCAAUAGCUGUCAUCGCUAGAGCAAAGAAAACCUGUAAACCAGGGAAAUGUUAACAAUCGACUGAAUGGACUAAUGAAGAUUUAAUUCUCAAGUAACACAUAUUUAGCAGAGUUCGGAUCCUCUGCUAAUGUUUUCUCAUCUAUUUACUUAAUUGAAGACUUGUAGCGCAAGGAAUAAAAACUCACCCGGAAAACAUCAGAGAAUGUUGUCUUGCCUGCUGCAACAAGUCGGGCUCCAGCAUAAAAACUGCAGGCAUACACAGAAAAAAGAAAAAAGAACGAGAGCCCAAAACCUGUCCCACUGAUUAACCCUCGUCUUAUCCCUGUCUUAAUAGGGCCUUCACAUUUCUUCUGGUACAAUUCAAUCACCUUCUCUUCAGCACAAAAGGAAGCAAUUGUUCGAAUACUCCCCACUGCAUCAUUGGCUACUUGACUUGCGUCCUCGUACAUUUUCUGCAACAAUUUAAAAUUUUCAGCAUUGGCAAAAAGGAUUGGUCUUAUAUAUAUUAUGUAUGUCGUAUUGGAUGGUGUUUUGACUGCACCAGCUACAAGUUCUCUACUAUAAAAUUUUGUAAAGUUUGGACUUUGGAGAAAUACCUUUGCAUCUGCACUGAAUCCUUUCAAGAACUUGACUUGAACAUAACCAGUUAAUCCUAAUAGAGGCAGCAAAACCAGGAUUAUAAGAGCAAGUUGCCAAUUUGCCACAAAAGCAAUACACAAACCAGCAAUUGCAGUUGCUGAAUUCUCAACCAGCAAACCUAGUGCAUCUCCAACCACCCCACGCAGAGAAGCUGCAUCUGCAGAAAGCCUUGCACCAAUUGCACCACUUGAGUACUGAGGAUUGUCAAACCAACUUACUUCCAUGUAAACCACCUUCUCAUAGCACAUUGAUCGAACUCGUUUUAUUAAAUUACACCCUGCCACAGCAAAAAAGUAUUGUCUUGCUGGCAGUGCUAUGAAAGCUACCACUCCAAGAACAAUGAAGGUUAAUGCCCAAAACUUCGAAUCCUUACGGAGUUGAGGAGGUGGCUCGUAGAAGGUCUUGAUUACACUGGAUAUCAAUAUCGAAAAAAUAGGUAAGAUUGCCCCAUUGACUGCUGCGGCUAUAGUACCUAGUAAUAAUACUGGGAUCUCUGGCUUGUUCAGGUAAGCCAGGCGACGAAUUGAGACUUCUGGAGGGCCUCUUGAUGAUGCUGAAGCAGGAAUAUCACGUCCUACAGAUGCUGUUUCAAGAGAAUCGACUGCAGUGGGCACACCAUAUGUGAUUGAGAAGGAAUGACGAUUACUAUUUCCGCUUCCAGAUGAUCCCCUGCUUAUGGAUCGUAAGUUUGAAAAUCUUUGACUUGAAUGUCUUCGAGAAUCCACGCUGCUAAGCCUUUCGUGAUUAUUUACAGCAGUCUGUUCUGACACGCUGCUCAUUUCUUGCAACCUUAUAAGCUGGCUAUAUGCUCCUUCAGGGUCCUUAAUUAGCUCAGAAUGUGGACCUGCUCAGUUGAAAACGAUCAGUAAGUGCACUAAGAAUAAGAUGAAUUGUAACAUUAUGUUGAACUAUAGACAAUACGAUUUGGCCUUCAAAUGGCAGAACAGGACAACAUAAACAAAUGCAUUACCUUUUUCAACAAUUGUUCCUCGAUGUAUAACAGCAAUGGUGUCAGCAUUCCUUACUGUGCUCAAGCGGUGGGCUACGACAACAGUAGUCCGGUUGAUCAUAAUUCUGUCCAGUGCCUCCUGCACAAUGCUCUCAGAUUCUGCAUCAAGAGCACUCGUGGCUUCAUCUAAAAGUAGAAUUCUUGGGUCUUUGAGAAUUGCUCUAGCUAUUGCAACUCUCUGUUUUUGGCCCCCAGAUAGCUGAGUUCCAUGCUCACCAACCAUUGUGUCUAGUCCCUAAAUGCAUAAAUCACAAAACCACAAAUAAGAAAAAGGGAAUUGAAUGAGUUGAUCGAAAUAAUCGGAGUUUUUAGAAAAUUCAUGUAACAAAAUGAUAAGAUCACUGGAUGUCUCAAUAAGCUUCCAUGGUCGUGGAAAUUAAGAAUUCACACAAAAAGUUCAGAGAACAAAAUACCAGAACUUAGAUGAAAGUUUAAAUGAAUUUAACCUGAGGCAGUUUGUCUAUGAAUUUAGCAGCAUUGGCAAGUUCAGCAGCAGCCCUUAUUUCUUCAGUGGUUGCACCAUCCUUUCCAUAGGCAAUAUUAUCUUUAAUGCUACAAGUAAAUAAAACGGGUUCCUGGCUGACAAGGCCUAUUUUCUGUCUGAUCCAUUUCAACUGGAACUCUUUGAGAUUAAUCCCAUCAAUAAGAACUUCGCCAGCUAGGGGGUCAUAAAAUCUCUCAAUCAAACUGACUACAGUUGAUUUACCACUUCCACUCUCUCCAACCAAAGCAGCAGUUGCACCACUAGGUAUUGAAAGAGAAAAUCCAUCGAAUAUUUGUUCAUCCGGUCUUGCAGGAUAACUAAAAUAAACAUCCCUCAGUUCUAUGUCUCCACGGAUAUCAUGUAAUUGUUGCCCAUUAGUGUCAGAAGCAUCAAUCUCUGGCUUUCUGUCAAUUGUCUCAAACAUCUUAUAAGCUGCAGCUUGUCCAGCAGCAAAUACACUCAAGCAUGGAGAUGCCUGCCCAAGAGACCUGAAAAUUUAUCAUAGAAAGCAGAAAAGUUAUAUCUUUAUCUUCUGAAGAAUCACAUAUCAAAUUUUGGACUGAAGGGGGGAGGGGGAGUAGUCAGUAGAUCAAGUAAAAAUGCAAACACUAGUACAAUAGUACUAGGAUCAACAAAUUUGUUCAUUAAAUUUUACUGCAAGCAACUUACAUGGAGCCAGUCAACACAGCUGAAACUACAUUAAUGACUUCCCCUCCUGUAUAUCCUUUUUCAAGUAUCAUCUUUCCUCCAAACCAUAUAGCCAGAGCAUAACUACACAUCAUAAUCAGCAUAGCCGAACCAAUUCCGAACCCAGAUGCCAAACCCUCUUGCACACCGGAGUUGUAAGCUUUAAUUAAGGAGUUGUUGUAAUUAGCUAUAGCUUGCUUUUCUCCUGUAAACGAUGCAACCUGAAAUGGGAACACAAGUUUUAGUUCUACACUAAGAAAAUAGAAAUAAUAAAUUUUUGUUUUAAAGAUCUUAAAGACAAGUAGGCCUACUGUUCUGAUUGAACCAAUUGUCUGCUCUACCACAGUUGCUGCCACUGAAUAAGCAGUUUGUCCACUGGAUGCCAUCUUUGAUAUAAGGAUGCGCAUGAUGGCACCAGAGAGGACAAGAAGGGGGAUAGAAGAUAGCAUGACAAGGGUGAGAAGCCAUCCCUUAACAAAUGCUAUAACAAAGCCUCCUACGAAUGUUGCAAUUAACUGGAUAAAAGUUCCUACCUGCAAUAAGAAAAUGAAAGAAUGAGAGGUUACUGGAGAAAAUAGCAACAGCUUAAGGCUUUUGUGUGUGGCAUGUAAAUACCUUCUCGCCCAUGGCCUCUUGAAUGAGCACAGUAUCACCUGACAUCCUCCCAACAAUUUCCCCAGUGUUAAUUUCUUUAUCAAAAAAGCCAACAUCUUGCCUCAAUAUUGUUUUCAAGUAUAAACUUCUUAUUCGAGCAGCCUGUCUCUCUCCAGUGACCAUCCAGCAAGACAUCUCUGGCAUAGAGAGAAAGCUACUAAUCUCAGUUUCCAAAAAGCCAAAUUAUUUGUUUGGUGCACCAGCAGGCAGUUCAGUGUAACUUACGUAGAAAUGCAGCUGCAGCAGCUCCCACCGCCACGUAGACUAACUUUAGAGCCACCUGAGAAUAUUGAAUUGGCCAAAUUAUAUCUGAUUAAGCCUUGUUCAUUACAAUUUCAACUAAGUUAGAGCAACCAGAGAACCAAAAUAGAUGUUAAAACAGAAGUAAGCUCAUUCAUCGCAGUUCUAAUAUUACAGUCACAUAAUAUUUACCUUGGAAACUGCGUCAACCACUUCUUUAUUAUUCCCUGUUUGUCCAAAGGAAUUAAUCAAAUCUCCAAAGAUUAUGGUCAUUAGAGGGACAGAGGCCCCAUUUCCAAUAGCACUGAUUGUACCAACAGACAUUAGCAGGUAAUCUAAGGAAUCGGCAAAGGAGAAAAGCUUGUAAUAUGGUACUGUUUUGGUGCCAUCCUCCUUGCUCCUGCUUCUAUCUUGUGGGUUGUUUUGAGAGUCCUCCACUGCUGAGUGGCCGUUCGAUGCUGCCUUGCCCUCCUCCUUGAUUACAUCUCCAUCCGCAGGAUUUUCCUCAGCCAUGUUUUUCGAAGCACCUCAGAGAAGUAAGUUGCAACUAUCUUGUGACAGUAAGCAACUCAAACUUGGAUGAUGAGAUCAGAGCUGCAAGAGAACAUUUAUGGAUUGAAUUAGAAACCAGGCACAUUAUUUUGUUUGUUUUUCGGGCACAAAAUUGACUACAUAAACCAACUUAAUCUAAUUGAAUAUAGAGUUGAUCAGUAAGCAAAAAUAUAUUUAAAAAACCCACUUAUUCCAAUAUUCUUUUUUUUUAAUUCUUUUUUUUUUGGCGCGUGUGAGAAGGGUUCGUUGCAAUAAAAUAAGUGCAGCAACUGUGAGAAGGGUUCGUUGCAAUAAAAUAAAAAAAUAUCAAAACAAAACCAAAACUUAAGAAGCCUCACACUGCAGGCAGUGAGAAAUCACAGUGAGGAAUCAAACGAAGAAGAAAAGAGAAAGAAACCUAGUGGCCAGCCAGCUGAUGCAUGUUCUAAAGGUGAGAAAUUUAAGGACAAGAGAAAUAGAAUAAGGAAUAAGACAAGCAUGGUAGCAAAACAAAAACUACAAGCAUGGUAGCAAAACAAAAACUAUGGCAUGGAAUAUGAAAUGAGGUGUUCGUCUAUUAUUGAAAAGAGAACAAUUUCAACCAAUGCAAUAGGGUUGUGCAGGAUCCAAACCAAUAUCUGCUAAAAUUGACCAAUCCAAUCCAAUCCAAUUUUCAUUAGUUUCGACAACAUUGGUGGAUUGGAUUGGAUCAGAAAAAUAGAAAUCCAAUUAGAUCAGUUUGGAUAACGGAUCAAGAAUUGAAAAUCUAACAUAAAUCAAACCAAUCCAAUAUACAUUUAUAUUAUAUAAUGUUUACACUAUCAUCUUGUUUUUCACUAAUAUAUUAAUCUUACUUUCAAAAAAAUUAAAACAUUAACGUAUUACCACAUUUUUAUCCCACAUUUCUAUACCACAUGAUGCGGUAUGUCCAUAUCAUAUGUCAUAUCAAUUAAAUCAAUGAAGUGUAUUUUAAUAAAGAAAGUUUAAUUGACAAUUUUUUUUAAGUGUUAAUAAAUCAUAAAAUAAAAGAAAAUGUUAAAUAAUUUUAAUUGAUAUGUGGUUGUCCACAUCAUCUGCCACAUAAGGUGGUAUCGGAAUGUGGUAUACAAAUGUGGUAAGAGUAGCAUUAUUCUAAUUUAUAUUAAAACUUAAUAUAUUAAUGUCAUAUCUUUCAUCAUAUUGAAUUUUGUAUUAUAUGUAAUGAAAGAUUAUGAAGUUUUUUUGUCAUGAUUAUUUUUUCAUACAAACCGAUCAUGCAAUCCAAUCCAAUGUACAUUGGAUCGAAUUGGAUUGGAUCCUAACUUCCAACCAUAUUAGAUUGGAUUGUAAAAUUGGUAAUCCAAUAAAAGAUUGGAUUGAAUUGGAUUGGUAAAAAAACCAUUGGUUUCGGACCGAUGCUCACCCCUACGAGAAAUUAUAGAGUGAUACUGUAUCACUACGUCAGCUGGUGAUACUCCCACUCAAAAUCUGCUAUGUGUAUUUUUUAAAAAAUAAAUAAAAUAUAUUUUACAACUGGACUUUGGCUUCCAACUUUACCCUUCAACUUUAAUCACCCAAACCCUCCCCACCGUGUUCCCUAUCCACCGUCUUCUUCCCUACGCUAUGCCUGCUAUCUGCAACACCACGCGUCUUCCCUUCUCUCUCAUCACCUACCCCAGCCUUCACUGUUGUUUGUGCAAAUAAUCUCACGGGAGAAUAUUCGCUUCUAGAUCCUUCAACCUUCGAUCUUCCUUCUCUCUCUUCCUCGAUUCCUGUAAAAAAGACUGGAGUAAAUAGACCACACCCGGGGGGUGUUGGCCAAAGGCCCUCCGAUGCCUAAGUUAGUUCGAGUGUUUGUAGGAAAACAAUAGCUAAGCAAAGGGUACGGAGUUUUAUGUAGGGUGUAAACCGGGUGGCCGGAGCCGUGUGUGGUGGCCGGAGCCGUGGGGAGAAAAUAUGGAGAGUGGAGAGGGAGAGAGAGCUUCGGGUAUUUUUCUCUGGUAUAAGGAGUAGGUUUAGAUGUACCUUGAAUGAUGAAUGAGGUCGUCUAUUUAUAGGAGCCUCGGGGCUAGGGUUUCGUAGGAAUCCAGUUGGGCCUGAUAAUAUCUGAAUUAAAUAUAUAUUAUCUCUUAAGAAGAUAAUAUCUGAAUUAAAUGAUAUUAUCUCUUAAAAAGAUAAUAUCUGAUUUAAAUGAUAUUAUCUUCUCUUUAUUAGGAUAAUAUCUUAAUUAAUGAUAUUAUCUCUUUAAAUAAAGAUAAUAUCAUAUUAAUUAAGAUAUUUAUCCCAAUUAAUUAAUUAGCCAGAUAAACUGGUUUAAUUAAUUAAUUAAAGAGAUAAUCUUCUUUUCCACGUGGCGUGCCCUGAUUGGAGACGAAAAUAUAUGCUCCCACAACUGUCUUCAUAGUUAAUGAAUCUAAAGAACUUCUAUUGUCAAAUGACUCAAAACCCAUAAACAAAAUCUAGUCAAACUCUACCAUUUUAUCUCUGGAGACACCCUUGAAGCUAAAGAAGAUGGGUAAUCUCUGAAAAUUUCACUUCUUACUCUUUUAAAAAGACCUUGAAUGAAAGCUGAUAAUGAAGAUGGUGAGGAAGAAGAAGAAUCUGAUGUGGAAUGGAGAGAUUUUUGGCGGAUUUCCUUCAUCAAGCCCCGCCCCAAUGACUUGCUCUAUAACACAAUUAAUUCUUGGUUGCCCAUCACGUCAAUCUUCCCUUCUUUCACUAGUGGUUUUUGUUUAUUUAAGAUUUAUGGUUUCAUGUUUAAUGGGUUUGCACAUAUUUUUAAGAUUUUUGGCUUUUUUUAUUAAAGGGUUUAACUUUUCACCGAAAAUUCGAGGGAGAGAGAGGAGGUGGGAAUAUUGGAGGGGUAGGGAAGGCCGGGGUGGGUGGCUGAGAGGGGGAAGGGAAGAGGGUUGUGUGGAGUCGAUAGCAAGGGCAUAGCACAGGGAAGCCGGAGGGGGGAAGGGUUAUGGUCAUUAAAGUUGAAGCGUAAAGUUGUAAGUCAAAGUUCAGUUGUAAAAUAUAUUUUAAUUUUUUUUAAAAAAAUACAUGUGGCAGAUUUUGAAUGGGAGUAUAACCAGCUGACGUGGUGAUACAGUAUCACUUUAUAAUUUCUCCACCCCUACAAUGCAAUUUGGAUAGUUGGGUCUUAGGGCUCAUAUGGUAUGUCAGACUGUACUGACUAAUUUAUGUCGAAUAGUAUUAAUAUGUUCCGAGAGUACUGAUUGUUUAUCCAUAAUAUAAUAAGGCGUUUGGUGUUGUUCCAGAUAAAUAGUAUCACUAAGUUAUACUAUGUUUGGUACUAUUUCGGAUAACAUCAGAUCAGACUAUUUUUUUAAUAAAAUUCUUUGAUAAUUUAAUGAAAAUUUAAAUUCAUAGGAAAAUUGAGUAAUUUAGUGGGAAGGGCUUUUAAUUUACCUACGGCUUCUUGCCAUUAAUCCCAUAUGUCCAUUCAACAUCAUGAAUUUGCCUAAUAGUUUAUUUAGUUAAGUAAAAUUUAAUUUCCAGCAUUGACCAAAUUAAAUCGAACAAUCCACUCAUCCUCCAAACUGAAGUUUGAAUCUUGGAAAACUGAAUUAUGAACCAAACUCAUCCACUCCCCAACAACCAAACCCAAGCUUUUUGGUUGCUCUCUGAAACAUCGAGUUUCAAUUCAAUGCAAAACAUAGACAAAUAAAUAAUUCCACGAUGCAAUUACAUUCCUAAUCUAACUUCCACAAAAAUAAAAACUCACGACCUAGUUUCCACAAAAUUUAAUAAAAGAUGAAAUAUAUAAAGAAAGAGAAGAUGAAGACAGAAUAAGAGAGAACAAACAUAUUGGAGAGAGUAUGAGAGAGAGAUGGAUACUUGGAGAAGAUAGCAGAUAAGAACCCUAGGCAGAAGAAGAUAACAAUAGAAUUUUUCACAUGAAUGUGUGUGUUCUUUUUCCCUAACCGUAUAAUUAAGCAUGUAUUAUCUAAAUCGGGGUGUGUAGAUUGUAUUUAUUAGUCAGAUAAAGAGAGUAUUAAAAGUCCAACCCGUUUAAAAUAGUCAGAUAAUUAAAAAAUACGAGCAAAAGACAAAGAAGGAAUCUUUGAACUUCUUGGAAGGUUAGGAUUAGAAUUUGGAUAGUUGGGCCAAAAUUUGGACAAUUAAUUAAGUUGUAUUUUGCCAAAGGGAUAUAUGAUUAGAGUACAUGGAAAUGAAAACAAAAACUACUAUGGCAUGGGAUGGAAGUGUUUGUAUAUUAUAUGUAGAUAUUAUAUUCGAAUGGGAACAUCAAACUUAAAAUUAUUAAACUAAUAAUCCAAGAUUUCCAUUUCCAAAGUAGAAUAAUUAAUAUUAACAUGAGAGUGAAGUGAGUAUAUACCUUCUACGGUGCACAUGCACCGAUGCACCAAGAUUUAUAAAUAAAUAAAAAUGAAACCUGUUGUUCAAGUUGUCCGGUUCCCUGUUUUUCUUUUUUGUUAAGAGUUCCCAACUUUUCUUAAUAUUUAAUCUUUGGCCUGUUUUUUUUGGGAAAGAAACUUUGUCUUAUUCUUUUUCUUCUUUUUUUUGGGGUCGAAAUAUCUUAUUUAAUUUUUAGAUAAACUAAUCUUAACCCAACUAACCCAAUCAAAUUUUAAAAUUUAUAUAAAUCCAAUCGACCAAAUUGAUUUUUUUUUUUUUUGGAAGAUUCACUAUUAUACCCAAUAUAAGAGUCCAAAUUAUUUAAGAAAUUCCUAAAAGAAAUAGACUUUUUAAACAUACUCAAAGCCUAUUUACAACAUAACAAAAAGGUUUUUAACUUCUUUUAAAUUACAAAACUAUCAUUGAUUUCUUGAAACAAACUCAACCCCAAAACUUCAUAAAAAAAAUCCAAAACACUCAAUAGGGUAUUAAAGUAAUUUAAUAAUUAAAAUUAAAUUCAAUAGGGCCAGCUGUCAUUUUUUGGGAGUUUUUUGAGUUUGUUUAGAGAAAUUAAAUGGUGUAGGAUUUAUUUAUAGUUUUAGUGCUAAGAAAGAGUAUAUGACUAAAUAUCUUUCUUUUCUUUUUUUUGUUAACUUGUAAUAAAAAAAAAAUUAGUAACUACAAAUUUGUUGGGUAUAAAAUAUUGGUUGAGUUUACUUAUAAAAUAAUUGGGUUCAAAUAAAAACUCUGUAAAUUUUUUUAAUCACCAAAUGCCUCGAGUUAAAAAUUGAUUAAGCACUUCAUUUAUGCAAUUACUAUCUCCAUAUUUGGUAAUUGUACAAAUACGGGUGGACCUUGCAUAAGUAAAUGUGGUCUUUAUUCUUGUAAACACAAGGGUUUACAAUAUUAAGGAAUCAUAUCACAAUGUUUUGGACAUCAAUGUUCCAUAAAUUUGUAAAGUGUAUCCAUAUUGUUGUAAUACUAUAAUUUACAAUAUAAAUGAUAUCCAUUACAAGGUUAAGGUAAGUGUGGACCCUGGAGAAGUAAAUGUGAUCGUUAUUCUUGUAAAUACAAAGGUUUACGACAUUAAGAACUAGUUCUACAACAUUUUGGACGUAAGCAUUCCAUAAUCUUAUAAAGUGGAUUCAUAAUCUCGUAGAUUACAAGAUUUGGGUUCCCAUUUAUAUGGUUUUGCAACCUAAUUACAAAUUUAAAGUUCAUUCUAGUCCAUAAUCUUGUAAUACAAUAAUUUACAAUAAAAAGGAUCCACAUUAUAAGUUAAUGGAACACUGAAGUCCCAAACAUUGUAAAAAGGGUCCUUAAUAUUGUAAACCAUUGUAUUUACAAGAAUAAAGACCACAUUUGCUUCUCCAAUGUCCACCUUUACCUUAACAUUGUAGGGGGAAUCCUUUCCAAUGUAAAUUAGGGUAUUACAAGAUUAUGCAUUAUGAAGAACCUUAAAAGUGUAAUCAUGGUGCACAAAAUUAUAAAUGAGAACCCAAAUCUUGUAAUCUAUGAGAUUAAUGAUCCACUUUACAAGUUUACGGAACUCAUACGUACAAACUAUUAUAGUAUGAGUCUUACAUGUUGUAAAUCAAUGCAUUUACAAUAAUAAGGACCAAUUUUACAUCUCUAAGAUCCACCCUACCUUAAACUUGUAAUAGAGAUCAUUUCUAUUGUAAUUUAUGAUAUUACACAUUUAUGGAUACAUUUUAUAAGUUUAUGGAAUACUGAGGUACAAAAUAUGGUAAAAGGGGUCCUUAAAACUGUAAAUUCUUGUGUUUACAAGAAUAAAGACCGCAUUUAUUUCUCCAAGGUCAACUCUUACCUUAACUUUGUAAGAGAUAUCUUUUCUAUUGUAAAUUAGGGUAUUACAAGAUUAUGGUUUAGGAAGAACCUUAAAAUUAUAAUAAUGAUGCAAAAACUUGAAAAUGGGAACCCAAAUCUUAUAAUUUACGAGACUAAGGAUGUACUGUACAAGUUUAUGGAACACUUAAGUCCAAACAGUUGUAAUACGAGUCAUUAAUAUUGUAAACCGUUGCAUUUCCAAGAAUAAGGAUCAGUGUUAUAGUAUUUGGGAUUGAGAGUUCCAUAACAUUGUUAAAUUUAUCCCUAAUCUUAUAAAAACAAGGGUUUGCAACAUUAAGGACUCAUGUUACAAUGUUUGGGACAUGAGGGUUGCCAAAUAUUAUAAAUUUUAUCUCUAAUCUCGUAAAAACAUGAGUUUACAACACUAAUUACUCAUAUUACAGUGUUUGGGACAUGAACAUUCCAUAACAUUGUAACAUUUAUCCAUAUUCUUGUAGAUUACAAGAUUCAGGUUCGAAUGUACGAGAUUUUACAUCGUCAUUAUAACUUUAAGGUUUACUUUGAUCCAUAAUAUUUUAAUAGCCUAACAAUUAAAAUGAUCUCAAUUACAAUAUUAAGGUAUUGUUGGACUUGAAUAACUAAAAUUGGGUCCUUAUUCUUGUAUAAAUCACGAUUUACAACAGUAAGGACUCAUGUUAAACUGUUUUGGACAUGAGAAUUCCAAAAACUUGUGAAUUGUAUCCAUAAACUCGUAAGAGCAAUUUGGAGCUCAAAUACCAGAGGUCGUUUGGCACCACUCAGGCAAUUGGUUUUCGCAAAUUGGAAGUGCAAUUACAAGGUUCCUAUUUGUCGAUUGCCAACUUGACAUGGCUGAGUGAAAGCAAAAUAGGCAAUUUCACUAACUUGUAACAAAAAUAACAAUAAAACUUGGGUAGCUUUAUAUAAAUCCAAAUAGCCAAACUGAAAUUGUUUUUGUUAACGUGUAACAAAAUAAAAUAAAAUAAAAUAAAAAAUCUUUGGAGAUUGUAGAGUUUUCCUUGAUUAUUGAAAACUGACACGACUUAAAUAAUUUUAAAGAAAUCUUUGUAUAUUUGAAUUCCACCUCAACAUUCACAAGGAAUAUAUAAUUUCGACUAAAAAAAUGAGGGAAAUAUGAUUGCAUCUAUGUUUAAUCACGAGUACAUAACAAAAUUUAUAUGUAGAACUGGCGCAAUAAUUUAGUUGGUGCAUAGACAAUGUCAAUUGCACGACUGGAAUGCAAAUGGGACCGCUUUAUUUGUCAAUUGCAUGACUGGAAUGCAAAUGCCUCUACCUAUUUGUCAAUUGCAUUGAUAAAUCACAUAUUAUAUUUACACUCUCAAAAUUGAAAAGGCUGCCAAUAACAUGGCAAUAUGCAUACACUAAUCUCAAAAUACAACUUUAAACUAUGAUAUAACAGUCAAAUUUACUUUAAAAACUUAUUCUCAAUGGUACUAUACCUCAUCAAAGCCAACAUAAACUUCAUUCAUGUAAUUGAAAGUAUUCUUCAAUACAUUCGCUUUACAUAACCAAUAAUUAUAAAACUAAAAUCUCAAGUCAUUAUGUAUUUAAAAAAAAAUUACAUUCUCCAGAUACAAUGAAAAUGUUACAAAUUCAAGUAGCCAAAUAAAUAGACUCCAAAAUAGUAUAUUAGUCUUGUACUUGGCCUAGUUCUUUACCCCAACCUGAAAAACAAUCACAAAAACAUCAAUAAAAUGAAUGGGAAACAUAAAACAUCAAUAAUAUGCUAAUAUGAAAAUAAUUACAAAGUCAUCAUUAUAAACAAAAAAAAUAACAAACCUACAACAACAUAAUUAACUUGAAUAAUAGAAAGCAAUAUGCCAAUUUCGGGUAGAGAUUUGUUCUUUUCUUUUUUCUUUUUUUACUUUUUGGAUUGUAUAACGAUUAUCAAUCUUAUAGGCUUUGAAUAUCAAACAAAAAAACUGCAAAGAAAGCAGCCAAAAGCUGGGACUAGCUUCAAUCAUUAUCUCCAAGGCCAUGUACAAUGGCCUGGUGUUUGUCUUUACGUCCUCAUUUUGUGAUUCCAAACUUACUAUACUUAGCACUAUGCCAAGAUUAGGCAAAUCAUGCCACUUCCAAUGUAGCAUGAUAGUUUUUAACAUGCAGUUCAUAAUAUAUAUAUUCCUCAUGCAUCACUAAAAUAAAUAAAUAAAAUCUCCAACCAUUCACCAAAAUGAAAGACAGAGACAAAGAGAGAUAUAUCUGAGGAAAAAAAAAUAAAACAAAACAAAACAAAAUUUUACCCAUUUCAUAUGCUGGGAAGGGUGGAUGGGCUGCUAGUUGGAAUACCUGCAAAUCCAAAAUCAAAAUAAAAACAAUACCUAACUGGAAAACAUAAUCAAAACCAAUUUCAAAUUAAGAAGCACAAGAAGAGUGAGUCCCUUUCCCAUGUAGAAGAUUUAGAAGUCAUGUAAAUUAGGACUCUUCAUAUGCAUGGUACUAUUGAUUGCAGUGAAGUUUCAUGUUCAGUGGGUUAGGAAGUCCUGUAAAUAGGAAAACAUACAAGCCAAAUAAAACAAUAGUUAUAGCUAACUACCAACAGUUCAAUUAUUGGGUGUUGUCUAAAGUCAAAUAUCGCAUAUUGCAAAGACAAGGCAUUAAGAAAAUCAUUCAUAAAAAGGCAAGAAACUACCUACUAAAACUUUGAAAGUAAGACGAAGAAAAUAACCAGAAGGCACGUGCCCCUUUUCUGCUCGUUCCUUCUUUGCACGCCUCUUUUCCAGAUCAACCUUACACGAGCAACAAGAAGCAGCUACAUUAUGAAAACUAUCACAGAGACCACAUCAAUAGAAUAGAAGUUAUAACUAUGGUAUGAAGGUCCCUGAAGGUUAUUCUUCAAAUAUUAAAAAUCUUGUAUCUUUACAAGAUUCAAGACUUCUUGGCCUUAAAUCAGAUGAUUGUCAUACCUUAAUGCAACAAUUGCUCCCUGUGGCAAUUCGUUCUGUUUUGGAGAAGCCUGCAAGGUAUGCAAUAACUCGUUUGUGCUUCUUCUUCAAUGCUAUAUGUGCAAAGACUGUUGAUGUUUCCAAGCUAGAUAAGUUGGAAGAAGAUGUAGUAGUUACUCUGUGUUUGCUUGAGAAGUACUUUCCCCCUUCAUUCUUUGAUAUCAUGGUUCAUCUAGUAGUACAUCUUGUCAGAGAAGUUCGUCUAUGUGGGCCAGUAUAUUUUAGGUGGAUGUAUCCGUUUGAAAGAUAUAUGAAAUUGCUGAAGGGGUAUGUUCAGAAUCGUACUCGUCCCGAAGGUUGCAUUGCUAAGCGGUAUAUAGCUGAAGAAGCGGUAGAGUUUUGUACUCAGCAUUUAUCUGAUGUUAGUACAGUUGGAGUGCCUUCAAGCCAAAAGAUGGGAGUUUCAAAGCCAUUAUCAGGUUGCACAGUGAGCGUAGUUGAUCAGGACCUGUUGAAUCAAGCACAUCUAUAUGUCUUGGAGAAUACGGAGGAAGUCCUACCUUAUAUCGAGUACGUAUGAGUUUUAUUCUUUAAGUUUCCAUUUUAAAUUAUUUCUUAUGUUUAUCUUAUAUAUUUGGGACCGUAAUGCUUGAAUUUUUCGUGUCAUGUAGGCAACAUAUGAUCCACAUCAAGACUGCUUAUCCAAAAUUUAGAAAGAGAACAAAGUGGCUGCAGGAUAAGCACAAUAGCACUUUCAUUCAAUGGCUACGCUUCAAGGUAUAUGUUGUUGAAUAAUAUAUUUCUCUUUUAAUUUUCUUUUAAUUUCUAUGUUAGAUUGAAUUAAGAUAUGAUUAAUUUGCAGGUUCAAAGUGAACUUGAGGAAGACAAUCAUGGCGUAUCAGAAAAUUUAAGGUGGCUAGCAGCUGGUCUAAACAUGGCAGUGCCAUUAUAUAGGAGCUAUCUUAUUAAAGGUAUUAAAUUCAAUAUCAAGGCACAAGAUGAUGUGCGGACAACUCAAAAUAGUGGAGUUUAUUUACUUGCACAUACCAUUCAAGUUGCUAAUGCCAAGGAUAAAAACCCAAUUCUCUCAAAUAUGGGUUUCUAUGGUGUCAUUCAAGAAAUUUGGGACCUUGACUACCAAAAGUUUACAAUCCCAGUCUUUAGGUGUGAUUGGAUAGAUAGUUCUGGUCUUGUAGUCGACGAACUUGGAUUUACCCUUGUAGAUUUGAGUAAAAUUGGACAUAGGAAUGACCAAUUUGUUUUGGCUUCUCAAGUCAAACAAAUAUUUUUUGUUGACGACCCGAUGCAUCGUGGUUGGUCGGUAGUGUUAUCAAUGCCUAAUAGAGAAUAUAAUGAUGUUAUUGGUGAUAAAGUCUUAGGUGAUGUGAUAAUUGAGUGUGAGCCAUUUACUAGAGGGAUGCCAAAUGUUGACACAUUUGAUGAACUGGUGAGUGAGUUAGGUGGUCAAAAUAUUCGAGAUGGGUGUGAAGAUAUAUGGAUUGAAUGAUGCUUAUGUAAUUGGCAGUGUAUGAUAUUAAUUUUGUAAUAUAUUGUAAUGUGAUUUCUUCACUUUCAUUAUACAGGUUUUGACCACAAAACAAUCAGUGCAAAAAAUACUGGUUCCAGAUUACAUCAUUAUAUUCUGCAUAAAAAACGACGUAUGUUCAAAUAAAACACGACGUUAUUGUGAACCAGUUAUUCAGCAUAUUUACUGACGUCUUAAAACAACGUAACAAUGAAGAACCACGACGCUAUUGUGAAGCAAUUAUUCAGGAUAUCACGUCGGGGAAGGAUUAAGAACCGCCAUGUAAUUCAAAAUAACACGACUCCAAUCCCAUAAUACCGACGUCUAAAAAACGAGAUAUAUAAUCUGAACGUUAAAAAAUACGACGUCAUCAUACAUUUUCCACGUCGCAAGUUCUUUUAUAAACGAAGAGGAACGAAAUGAAUUCCGACGGUAAUUCAUUAUAACCGUCGUCUAAUAUCAAUUAAACGACGUUAUUUGUAAUACGGCUCUCAUCAUAAUCAACGCCGUCUAUAUGUUCUGUAAUACGGCUCUCAUUUAUUUAGAACCGACUUUGUUUAGAAGUUCAACGUCGUCUAUAUUAAUAAGUGCGUCGUGAGUAAUGAAUACAUAUAAAUGCAACGUCGACUAUAUAAAUGCCACCGACGUUGUUUCGCAUUUCAACGUCAACUAUAUAAAUACAUACGUCGUAAAUAAUGACACUGACAACUAUUUCCACGUCAUCUUUUUUAGAAAAAUCGAAGUGAAAAAUUUAUUUCACGACAGUUGUUUGUAAAUAAGAGACGUAGUAGAUUUCAAUAACGUCGUCUUCUCAUGUAUUUAAAGACGUCAUAUUUUUUCUUGUCGUGAAAAUUAUAUUUAACGGCGUAGUGUUUUAGUUGUCGUCGUUGUAUGUCUAUCUUGCGGCCUUGUUCUUUUAAUAUGUGUCAUAUUUUUCCUUUUUAACAACGGUUUUUUUAGAGAGUUGGUCGUCUAUUCUCAUCCUCAACUGCUUUUUUAGAUCUUUUUGCAGUACAAAGACGUCGUUUUGUAUUUGUUGAUGACGUUGUAUAUUUUAACAACGACGGUGAUUUAGCGUCGUGGUUUAUGAGGGAAAAGAUGACGGUGGAUUCCACGACCAUUGAAAAACCGAAUACACGACGGUAAUUUACCGUCGUCUUUUUGCUUUUUUGUAGUAGUGUAGAACUAUACCUUUGUAAAGGCCUGCAACUAUCUCAGAGACCACAGCAACCUCCACCAUAUUUUUUCUACUAUGACCAUGAUUAAAAGUUUAUUUCAGUUGUUGAACCUUCACUUACAUAAACAAAAUUAAAUGCAACAGAAACAACAACACUCAAAGCAAUCAUAUAAAGCAAGAAAAUUUACCUAAGAACAGAAAUCAAAGUACACACUUUUCAAAUCCAAAUUACCUAGUCUUUGCUUUGGGGCCAGAUGAAACAAAACUCCCUACAAUACAGGCAGUGGCAGAGCUAGGAUUCUUAGUAUGGAGGGGCCAAAAUUUUUUUUUUUUUUUUUGGUGAAACAGGGGGAUAUAAAAACCCAGAAAAGGAAAAAAAAACAGCUAAACAGAACUAAUAAUACGGGUCUUAGUAACCCCUAUAGAGUCAUCCAAUAACAGAGGCCCAAGCCAAGUCGGAUUAUCCUCAAGGAAACAGCACCCCAGAUCAAUGUCGUGGCUCCAAGCAGCCAAUCUGUCAGCUACAGCGUUCUUCUCUCUGUAGAUGUGGUGAAGAAAACAUUUUGGAAUUUGGCUCAUAAGUCUCUUGCAGCUGUGAACCAAACCAGCCAUAGGAUGACAAAAAUUCAGAUCAUUACUCAGGAUAAGAUUAACGGCAUUGACAGAAUCCAUUUCAACAACAAUAUCCAUUAUUCCUCUUGUGGUAGCUAAUUUUAGACCAAAAAAUAAACCCCACAGCUCAGCUUCAAGGAUUUGUCCUUUCCCCAGGUUGACAGCGAAACCACCAAUCCAGUUACCCAGGUGAUCUCUGA
rnacentral:lncRNA from 1 species